GACGAACGCUGGCGGCGUGCUUAACACAUGCAAGUCGAGCGGUAAGGCCCCUUCGGGGGUACACGAGCGGCGAACGGGUGAGUAACACGUGGGUGACCUGCCCUCAGCUCUGGGAUAAGCCUGGGAAACUGGGUCUAAUACCGGAUAUGACUCCAUGACGCAUGUCGUGGGGUGGAAAGCCUUGUGCGGCUGGGGAUGGGCCCGCGGCCUAUCAGCUUGUUGGUGGGGUGAUGGCCUACCAAGGCGACGACGGGUAGCCGGCCUGAGAGGGCGACCGGCCACACUGGGACUGAGACACGGCCCAGACUCCUACGGGAGGCAGCAGGUGGGGAAUCUUGCGCAAUGGGCGAAAGCCUGACGCAGCGACGCCGCGUGAGGGAUGACGGCC
rnacentral:rRNA from 1 species